GAUGAAGAACGCAGCGAAAUGCGAUACUUGGUGUGAAUUGCAGAAUCCCGUGAACCAUCGAGUCUUUGAACGCAAGUUGCGCCUGAAGCCGUCAGGCCGAGGGCACGCCUGCCUGGGCGUCACACGCCGUUGCCCCCCCGCGCCCCGCACCCAACGCUUUGGGAGCGACCGCGGGGCGGGCUGAUGAUGGCCUCCCGUGCGCUCCGCCGCGCGGUUGGCCCAAAUACCGAGUCCCCGGCGACGUGCGCCACGACGAUCGGUGGUUGAGAGACCUCUGUCGCAAGUCGUGCGCGCCCGUCGCGUCACGCGGGCUCGCAUAGCGCCUCGCGCCGCACCCGGUGCGGAGCUUUCAACGCGACCCCAGGUCAGGCGGGGUUACCCGCUGAAUUUAAGCAUAUCAAUAAGCGGAGGA
rnacentral:misc_RNA from 1 species